GAUGAACGCUGGCGGCGUGCCUAAUACAUGCAAGUCGAGCGAAUGGAUUAAGAGCUUGCUCUUAUGAAGUUAGCGGCGGACGGGUGAGUAACACGUGGGUAACCUGCCCAUAAGACUGGGAUAACUCCGGGAAACCGGGGCUAAUACCGGCUAACAUUUUGAACCGCAUGGUUCGAAAUUGAAAGGCGGCUUGGGCUGUCGCUUACGGAUGGACCCGGGUCGCAUUAGCUAGUUGGUGAGGUAACGGCUCACCAAGGCAACGAUGCGUAGCCGACCUGAGAGGGUGAUCGGCCACACUGGGACUGAGACACGGCCCAGACUCCUACGGGAGGCAGCAGUAGGGAAUCUUCCGCAAUGGACGAAAGUCUGACGGAGCAACGCCGCGUGAGUGAUGAAGGCUUUCGGGUCGUAAAACUCUGUUGUUAGGGAAGAACAAGUGCUAGUUGAAUAAGCUGGCACCUUGACGGUACCUAACCAGAAAGCCACGGCUAACUACGUGCCAGCAGCCGCAGUAA
rnacentral:rRNA from 1 species